rnacentral:tRNA from 2 species
GGCGGGGUAGCUCAGGUGGUUAGAGCGCAGCACUCAUAACGCUGAGGUCAGUGGUUCAAGUCCACUUCCCGCUACCA